CCUACGGGUGACAGCAGUGGUGAAUAUUGCACAAUGGGGGGAACCCUGAUGCAGCGACGCCGCGUGAGUGAAGAAGUAUUUCGGUAUGUAAAGCUCUGUCAGCAGGGAAGAAGCAAGACGGUACCUGACCAAGAAGCCCCGGCUAACUACGGGCCAGCAGCCGCGGUCAGACGGAGGGGGCAAGCGUUAUCCUGAUUUACUGGGUGUAAAGGGCGCGUAGACGGCAGGGCAAGUCUGGAGUGAAAGGCAGGGGACCAACCCCUGGACUGCUCUGGAAACUGGCCGGCUGGAGUGCAGGAGAGGGAAGUGGAAUUCCUAGUGUAGCGGUGAAAGGCGUAGAUAUUAGGAGGAACACCAGUGGCGAAGGCGGCUUACUGGACUGUAACUGACGUUGAGGCACGAAAGCGUGGGGAGCAAACAGGAUUAGAUACCCUAGUAGUC
rnacentral:rRNA from 1 species